rnacentral:rRNA from 1 species
CCUUCAGGGGUGGGGCCCCAAAGGGAGUUAACCGGAGGGGAAACCUGGGUAUAUUUUUCCCCGAAACAAUGGGGUUAUUUGGAAGGGGGAAAAGAAAAAGGCUUUUUUUUGGCCGGGGAGAAUGGUUUUCCCCAACUCUAAAGCGUCUUUAGUUAGGCGUUCCCAGGUAAAAUUCCGGUCACUCUUUACCAUGGGGGGUUGAUCUCCGCGCCACUACCGGUGCCGAAGGAACAAAAGCCCCUGUUUCCAGGAAAAGCCUGUUAACCUUCAGGAACCAUCAAAUUGGUCCCCCAAACCGACACAGGUGUUCUGGUAGAGAAAACCAAAGGCGCCUGGGGGAACUCGGGUGAAGGAAAUAGCCAAAACGGUGCCGUAAUUUGGGAGAAGGCACGCUGACAUGUAGGCGAAGUGAUUUAGUCAUGGAGCUGAAGUCAGUCGAAGAUACCACCCGGGCUGCAACUGUUUAUUAAAAACACAGCACUGUGCAAACACGAAAGUGGACGUAUACGGUGUGACGCAUGCCCGGUGCCCGAAGGUUAAUUGAUGUGGUCAGCGCAAGCGAAGCUCCUGAUCGAAGCCCCGGUAAACGGCGGCUGUAACUAUAACGGUCCUAAGGUAGCGAAAUUCCUUGUCGGGUAAGUUCCGACCUGCACGAAUGGCGUAAUGAUGGCCAGGCUGUCUCCACCCGAGACUCAGUGAAAUUGAACUCGCUGUGAAGAUGCAGUGUACCCGCGGCAAGACGGAAAGACCCCGUGAACCUUUACUAUAGCUUGACACUGAACAUUGAGCCUUGAUGUGUAGGAUAGGUGGGAGGCUUUGAAGUGUGGACGCCAGUCUGCAUGGAGCCGACCUUGAAAUACCACCCUUUAAUGUUUGAUGUUCUAACGUGGACCCGUUAUCCGGGUUGCGGACAGUGUCUGGUGGGUAGUUUGACUGGGGAGGUCUCCUCCUAAAGAGUAACGGAGGAGCACGAAGGUUGGCUAAUCCUGGUCGGACAUCAGGAGGUUAGUGCAAUGGCAUAAGCCAGCUUGACUGCGAGCGUGACGGCGCGAGCAGGUGCGAAAGCAGGUCAUAGUGAUCCGGUGGUUCUGAAUGGAAGGGCCAUCGCUCAACGGAUAAAAGGUACUCCGGGGAUAACAGGCUGAUACCGCCCAAGAGUUCAUAUCGACGGCGGUGUUUGGCACCUCGAUGUCGGCUCAUCACAUCCUGGGGCUGAAGUAGGUCCCAAGGGUAUGGCUGUUCGCCAUUUAAAGUGGUACGCGAGCUGGGUUUAGAACGUCGUGAGACAGUUCGGUCCCUAUCUGCCGUGGGCGCUGGAGAACUGAGGGGGGGCUGCUCCUAGUACGAGAGGACCGGAGUGGACGCAUCACUGGUGUUCGGGUUGUCAUGCCAAUGGCACUGCCCGGUAGCUAAAUGCGGAAGAGAUAAGUGCUGAAAGCAUCUAAGCACGAAACUUGCCCCGAGAUGAGUUCUCCCUGAGACUUAGAGUCUCCUGAAGGAACGUUGAAGACGACGACGUUGAUAGGCCGGGUGUGUAAGCGCAGCGAUGCGUUGAGCUAACCGGUACUAAUGAACCGUGAGGCUUAACC